rnacentral:misc_RNA from 1 species
GAUGAAGAACGUAGCGAAAUGCGAUAAGUAAUGUGAAUUGCAGAAUUCAGUGAAUCAUCGAAUCUUUGAACGCACAUUGCGCCCAUUAGUAUUCUAGUGGGCAUGCCUGUUCGAGCGUCAUUAAGUCCACUUAAGCCCUGCUUAGUGUUGGGAGACUGCUCCAGCGGUGCUACCCUGUAGCUACCCUGCAGCUCCUCAAAGACAGCGGCGGAGUUGUGGUAUCCUCUGAGCUUAGUAACUUGUUCUAGCUUUCGAGUACACCACUUCCCCUGCCGUAAAACCCUUAAAUUUUAAUGGUUGACCUCGGAUCAGGUAGGAAUACCCGCUGAACUUAAGCAUAUCAAUAAGCGGAGGA